CUGAAAAUGAAAAUAUAUCAGAAAAUGCUGCUAAUGCAUUUAAGGAAAACUGUACUGUAGUGGAAGAGUGACUAUAUUUUGUCAAUUGGGGGUCAGACUAAGUUACUAAAUGAAAAUCAUGAAAUCAAUUUAUUAAAAUCUUUUUUAAGUAUUGCUUCUUGACUGCAAACAUGACCAUCUUUAUAGUUGGUUGUCAAGUAUCUGAAAAAUCCAAAAUAGGAAAAAUUUUGUGGUUAUAUUAUAAUAAGUUUCAAAACAUCAAUGCUUUUUCAAAAUAAAAUAAACGUCUUUAAUGUUAUCUCAUGUUCUAUCAAAUUUAAUGGCAUUUAGUGAGGUCACUGUCCGACUUAAAAAAGAGCAUUAAGUUGUAGUUUAGGACAUUAAACACUAACUAAUGAGUCAUUGGACUUUAACGGAUCAUAACUGCCCUGUAUCAAUAAUACCAAAUCAGACUGUGUGAAACAAACUGGCUAAAUUUUUUACUUAAUUAAUUUUUUACGUAAAUGAAGCCAAUAUGUAAAUUUGUGAAUACAAGCAAAUAUAUUCAGUAGCAAUUAAAACAUGCGUGUGUGAAAUUUAUUUGUAGCCAAAAUGUAAAUUUGUUAAUACAAGUAAAUACUUUUAGUGGCAAAUAAAACCAUGCAAGUGUGAUUAUGAGCAAUGAAUUUU
rnacentral:lncRNA from 1 species